AUGCGAUGAUGAGCGAAGUCUAGUCUGACCUGGUACUGCCGUUCUUCCGUUCGGGCUUUGACCAGGGCGUGACCACCUAAUCUUCUCUCUGAGCUG